ACCCUUCUGAAUUAUUCUGCACGUGGCAGAGAAGGUACCAGUUCCAGAAGAGUCAGAACUGGACGGGAUCACAUAACUUUGUGCUGAUGGAGAAUGGAGGGAAGAUGUGGAAAGAAACAGAGAGGAUUUGGCUCUACAGAAUCCCAGUCCUGCUGAAUCCUCUCUUCUACAGUUAACCUACUGCAACCAUUCACAGAAAUACGUGUGAAGAGACAGUAAACCAGACUGCACCACUACUUUCACCAGUGCCCAGACUUGCCCAGAGUCUGGGUGGAUUAGGAAGAGCUGCUAGAAGAAAUACAGAUUCAGCUGACAAUGCCUGCUGUGACUUGGGAUCAGCCAGUAGGGACUGAAGAAGGGCCUUUUUGAAGAUGUUCAAGUGGCAGACAAGAAGCAGGAAUAUGUAUUAAGCUGUUUCAGAGCAGUAUCAACUGAAAUAUGAUUUGAGAUUGGAACAAUAUAAUUACUAGUGUAGAAUCAGUGGGGAGACAGACUAUACAAAAUCUUUUUCUGGCUUUGCUGGUGUCUCCCUUCCAGGAAUAAGAACAUGUGUUUCUCUUGGUGUUCACACAAGAUUCCAUAUCAUGCUAAGAGCAGUCGGCAUUAUUCCCAGGCCAUGGAUGAACUGUUGUCAGGCCUUACAAUUAAAGCUCAGUAAGGCUGAGUUGGAGCUGAAAAAGAAGACCUUUGGAGAACACCAAGUUGCUGAGAAACAGUAGAAAAGUUGGAAAAUGACAGAACUGCUGUCUUUUGCAUGAGACAGAGCAUCACAGUUGCAGUCUCUUCCAACUAUUGUUCAGGAUAUUACCAUAGUGGUUUGAUGCUCUAUGCCAAAUACGUGAUCCCCGACAGCCAGGAAGGAAGGUCCACAAGAAACUCUGGGGGAAUCAGAGCUGUUCCUCUUUUAUGGCUUACCAGGAGAGGAUUUUUCUGUUGACAGGUUGGAGCUGUACCACACAACACGAUAUAGAUGUGCCUCAGUUCUCUCCAAAUUAACUGGUAACGCAUCCAA